GUCAUAUCCUGUUCAACAAAAGCUAGUUUGAAUCAGUUCAAAGGUUGGGACUCACUCUCCCAUCAAAACUCAACAUGACUAGUGCUAUUAUUACAUUGAUUCUGUUGCUGCACUGCAGUCAAGCUGCUGUGGGUGGAGAUGGUGUUGUUCAAGAUCCUAAAAUUCUCUGGGAACAAAAGAACGGUUCUGCUUCUUUGAACUGCAAUCACAAUAAGGGUUUUUCAUACAACCAGAUGUACUGGUACCGACAGCGUCCAGGAGAGACUAUGAGACUCAUUGUAUUCACUAUGACUGGUGGUAUUACACCAGACUUUGGAGAUGUUGAUGAGAAGAAAUUUGAAGCUCAAAAAAGUGUUGCUGACAGUGGAUCGUUGAAAGUGAAAGAUCUAGAGCCAGACGACAGUGGCAUAUAUUUCUGUGCCGUGAGUCAACACAGUGUGUCAAAGGCUGGAGAAUGCUGUACAAAAACAUUCGGUGCAUAAAAAGACAAUGACAGCAUUAGUCAACAGGUGGCAGUCUGGUAUAACAAUAAGCAAC